ensembl:lncRNA novel transcript
UUACAUAAUCUCGUCUCCCUCGCAUUGCGCGCCGCGGAAAACUCGCGAACCAUAACGCAGCGUCAUGCGCACAGCCUCUGUAAGUACACAGUCGUUUCCGGUAGACCCCGAGCCUACCGCUCUGCUUGCGUUCUCGGGGGUCGGUGUCGGUCUUGGGUCUGGCCAUGCCUGAGCCUGCAAAGUUCGCGCCGGCUCCCAAGAAGGGCUCCAAGAAAGCCGUCACCAAAGCCCAGAAGAAAGACGGCAAGAAGCGCAAGCGCAGCCGCAAGGAGAGCUACUCCAUCUACGUGUACAAGGUGCUGAAGCGGGUCCACCCCGACACCGGCAUCUGGUGCAAGGCCAUGGGCAUCAUGAACUCCUUCCUCAACGACAUCUUCGAGCGCAUCGCGGGAGAGGCGUCCCGCCUGGCGCACUACAACAAGCGCUCCACCAUCACGUCCCGGAGAUCCAGACGGCCGUGCGCCUGCUGCUGCCCGGCGAGCUGGCCAAGCACGCCGUGUCCGAGGGCACCAAGGCGGUCACCAAGUACGCCAGCUCCAAGUGAGUCCCUGCCGGGACCUGGCGCUCGCUCGCUCCCUCCCUCCCUCCCUCCGCGGGUCGCCGGCUGCUUUGUCUCCAAAGGCUCUUUUCAGGGCCACUUAACCCCGUUAGUGAAAUAAGCUGUUUUCCCACUGCUUACUGUGAGUUCUACUUAGGGGUUUUCCCUCAGCACCUAUCCCUUUUCCUGCAGAUGAUGGGAGAGGAAUAUAAGAUAAAGCUAUAAGAUGUAGCUUGGUCGAGAACUACCUUGUAGUGACAGGGUCAUGUGCACAUAAUUUGCCUUUUCCAAAGUGAGACGAUAUGCUACGGGUGCGGUCAAUGUAAAUCUGCUCAGGAGAGUCAAGGGAAAAAGUGUUAACUGCAUAUUGAGCUCGCAAAAUUGUGUAGUAACCUGAAAAUAUUCCUAAUAGUUUUGCGACCAAGCCUCACCAUAUAAACUUUCCUUCCGCACCUGUAGACCUCCAUUCUGUGGUUGAAGCAAUUUUUGGUUUAUAUAGCUCUCUUGUCUCAAUUUGGUAUUCCUUUCAGGUACUGUGAGUCUAUAGGUAUUUAUUUCUGGGUUUCAAGACGUUAAAUGCCAUCAGAAUUGAGUAAUGCAAAGGCUGCUGUCAUGGAUAGUAAAGCUUUUUAGUCAAGUGCUGAUAGACAAUUCCCCAUUGUUAUCGUUGGGUAUUUUACAAUUUUCUGGGCAAGAAAUGUAAUGAAAAAUUAAGUAAGUUUUAAAGGCCUUCGUCUUUGAGACUGGAUACCUAAAACAAUAGUGUUUCCUAAACAGUUAAAACUUAUUUAACCCUGAAGCUUUCGAGACACACAAAUAUAUACAAAUAUAUAUUGUAUAUUUCUUAAACCCCACAUAGUUCCACUGAUCUAAAUCACUGGGGGCGAGAGGCAAGGAUAGACAAUCUAUGACACAACACCAGGUGAUUCAUAAGUUUGGUAACCACUGACAUUUGAUUAUGCAGUUGCCAUAUUCCUUAGUAAGAACCUGGUCACAAUUUUCACUCACUACCCCAGGCAAUUCCCCCUCCCCACACCCCCCUUUUUUCUGAGAAUUUCAGUGAGAUAUACAAAAGUUUCAUUUAAUCCUUUAUUAAUUCCAGACUUUAUAUAUUUUUAUUAGGAUUUAAAAUACAUUUCAAAAAGAUCAAGUGAGAACAGAAGAUAAAAGUACCAAGAUAAAGGCAUAAUACAAACUUAGAAAAUACAUGUUAAGCAUACUGCGGCGUCCUGGUAGCCCCUUGCUUUUGUUCACUUUUUUCUCUUAUGUACCUACAUAAAAUCCCAAAUAGUAUCUUCCAGGAUGACACACUUGCUGUCUGCCCCACCCAAUUAAAAACAGAUUUUUUAGUUAUUAGGUAUUGUGCUGAAUCUACCUUAUUUUAUUGCCAAAAGAAAAAAAAAAAAAAGCUUUUCAAAGCUUCAUCCCCAGGAAACAUUUUCCUGCUUUUACACAUACCUUAUAUGGCUCUACUGAGAGAUAAGGCCUAAGCCUGAAAAGUUAAUUUAAAGCAUGGAGGUAGGGGUGAGACAGAAAGACAACAGGGAAAAGUUGAGUUUAUAAGGUAAGUAUAUAUCUUCCUUUUAACAGCCACCUGCAUGGCGUUCGGUAAAUAACCUAAUUAUAUGUGGGGGAAGGUAGUGGUCAACAUUUGGUCCUGGGGACUGAGAAUAAGAGCAGGAAAGCAAUAAACAGCUAACUAUGAGAGUGACUUAAUGUAAUUAUAUUACCUGUCAAUCGCUACUUUUCCUUUCUUACCAAAAUUCACACAGGUAUGAAAGCAAUAUGACAUUCAGGCUCCAUUAUGUGUAUUUGUGCACAUCACUUCCCACGAUAAGGGAGAAGAAAAGAAACCACUGCACAUUCGGAUAAAACAUGCUGGGAAUACAGCAGUAAACAGAAUAGAAAAAGUCUACAUUUUAAUUAGCAGAUAAGUAAAAAUAAGUGACUAAAUGUAUAUUAUUCAGGGGGCCAUAUGUGCAAUUGCUGUUAAGUAAAGCAGAACAUGGAGUGGAGUAGGGAUGACAGGUUUCAUCAGUUAAUACUUGAGCAGAGAGCUGAAUACAGUAAGAUAGUUGUAGGAUAUCUUGAGGCAGAGUAUUCUCAGAACAGAACAUGGUAAGUACAAAGGCCCCAAGGCAGGAACAAGCUUGGUGAAUGUGAGAAAUAUGCAAGCUGGUUAAUGUGGCUGAAGCACAGUGACCAAGGGAAAGUUUUACAGAGAUCACGGAGGUGCUUGAGGGCUGGAUUAUGUAGGCCAUUAAGGAGCAUCACAGGCCACUGCAGAGAUUUUGUCUUUUAAAUGAGAUAGAGUGCUCUUGGAGAAUGUGACUGGAGAGGCCGAUGGUAGCAGUGGAGAUGCAGAGUAGUAGCCGAGAUAUUUUAAAUGAAAUUGAUUUAGUAUAGGCUGACUGAAAGAGAAAUCAAGGAUUAAUUGUAGGUUUUUACACUGAGCACUUGAAAAGAGCUGCUAUUUGCUGAUAUGAGUAAGGAGUAGUCUUGGAGGAAGAAAACCAAGAGUACUGUUUUGAACAAAAUGUUGAAGACUCCUGGUAAAUAUCGAAGUGUAAAUAUCAAAUAGGAAGUCAGAAAUAUGAGAAUCUGGAGUUUAGGAAAGAGAAGGGGGUUAGGUUUGUAAGAUCUCAUAUCAGUCUGAUUCUUAUUUUUUUGUAGAUAAUCUACCCUUUCUUUCUGUAAAUGUUUAGAAGCAUGAUGUCUAUGUGUGUAUAUAUACACACACACUCACUCCCCCCCGCCAGGACUGCCUCAGUUUUCAUCUCAGUAUUUGACUAAAACCUUCUAUUCAACUUCAGUUUCAGCCUUAGAAUAACCAGAUGUCUAAGUCAAUGUCAUUUGGGGCAUCUCUAGACUUGUGCAAUCACAAAAGUCACCAUUACCGCUACAUAGUACGUAUUAUGACCAAUGGAUAUCAUUCAGAGUUCUAGUUUACAUAUGCUAUUAUCAAACAUAUGUAAGCCUUUUAAUGUAACUUGGGAGUGAAAUUAGUAAAAUUCUAUCAAUUUACAUAAAUUAAUUUUACUGUAAAAAUAAAAUACAUUAUGAAAGUUUCUGUA